rnacentral:rRNA from 1 species
UACGUAGGGGGCGAGCGUUGUCCGGAAUCAUUGGGCGUAAAGCGGGUGUAGGCGGGCUUAUAAGUCAGUUGUGAAAUCCCAGGGCUCAACCCUGGAAGUGCAUUUGAUACUGUAAGUCUUGAAUGUGGUAGAGGUUACUAGAAUUCCUGGUGUAGUGGUGAAAUACGUAGAUAUCAGGAGGAAUACCAGAGGCGAAGGCGGGUAACUGGGCCAACAUUGACGCUGAGACCCGAAAGUGUGGGGAUCAAACAGG